GGACAUGGAUUUAAUGCCAUAACUAUUUCAUGUUCCAGUUGGAAUUGCAGCCAGAAUACAAUCCCUCAUUCUUUUCACCAGACUGGCUUGAUCAAGAUAGGGUGGAAUUAGACUGGAACAGUUUUUUUUUUUUAUAUGGAUCAACUACUCUCUGGUGGAAUUUUUCUGUCCUCCUCAAAAUUAUGAGAAAUACACAAUUAAGAUUUUUAAAUUUCUAUUGGCAGUAUUCUUCAGCUGGAAAGAAGAGCUUCUUUAAGUUAGGCAAAUGAAUGGAGUAAAGAUCUGAAAUAUGAAAACAGCGCAGCUGGCAUUCAGCGUACAAAAGUAUCAGGAAAUAUAUUCAGAUUCUUAGACUGAGCUAGCACAGCAGUAAUACUUUCCAGAUCUAUGAGGCACCUAACAGAGUGGAUAUGCAAAUCAGUAGGAGUGUGACAAGUGGUGGGGAAAAAGGUCAUUUAAUGAAUAUGCUCUGGGGUUUUCUCUUAUCAGAAUUUCUCGGAGAGGUACAUUUCAACAGUGUUCAUUUGAAAAUAAAUCUAACCUGCUUGUUGAAAAUUGGA